rnacentral:rRNA from 1 species
GGUUAYGCCCAUACCAACCCAAGCACRCCCAAUCUCAUCUGAUCUAGGAAGCUGAGCAGGGUCAGGCCUGGUUAGUACUUGAUAUGAGACUGCCUGGGAAUACCAGGUACUGUAAGCU